CACUGACCUUUCUCUCAAAAUGAUCAGAGAUAGUUCAGAUCUUUGACUCCUGUAGUCCAAUCACAGACCUUGACAUUUAAACCAGGAGCAAAUAUUCGUGUGGCUUUUUAAAAAAAAUCAUGGCUUGUUGAUUAUAAUUAAGUUUCAGUCUUUCCUUCUGGUCGAUCAGAAUUAUCACCUCCCAGGACCUAUGGGAUGGUCACCUCAUGCCUCAGAAUGUUGUGGAGCAGGCGAUCCUGGCGUCUCUGAGUCAAGAGAGCUCGUUCAGUCACCUGCUUUGCGCUCCCCACCUCUGCCACCUCCUUCCCAGUUGGAACGUAACCAAAUUAGAUGGAAAAUUUCAGUCCCAUUUUGCAGAUGAGGAAUAUAAGAAAAAUACAGGUAAAGUUACCAGUUUGAACUUACAUAGUUAACAG
rnacentral:lncRNA from 13 species